GCGCAGCAGGCGAGAAACCUCCGCAAUACACGAAAGUGCGACGGGGUUACCCAAAGUGUCCAAAUUUGGACUGUGGUAGGUGAGUAAUGUCCCCUACUAGAAAGGAGAGGGCAAGGCUGGUGCCAGCCGCCGCGGUAAAACCAGCCCUUCAAGUGGUCGGGAUAAUUAUUGGGCUUAAAGUGUCCGUAGCCGGUUUAGUAAGUUCCUGGUAAAAUCGGGUAGCUUAACUAUCUGUAUGCUAGGAAUACUGCUAUACUAGAGGGCGGGAGAGGUCUGAGGUACUACAGGGGUAGGGGUGAAAUCCUGUAAUCCUUGUAGGACCACCAGUGGCGAAGGCGUCAGACUGGAAUGCGCCUGACGGUGAGGGACGAAAGCCAGGGGAGCGAACCGGAUUAGAUACCCGUGUAGU
rnacentral:rRNA from 1 species